rnacentral:misc_RNA from 1 species
GCAAACUUGGUCAUUUAGAGGAAGUAAAAGUCGUAACAAGGUAACCGUAGGUGAACCUGCGGUUGGAUCAUUAACAAAAUCCAAUAAAAAAGAAAAGAGAGGGGGAUGCGUAAGGGAAACCUAUCUCUCUCUCUCUCUUUUUUUUUCAACACAUUGUGAACUGUAAUUGUCUCUGGUGUGGUUAAGAGUCUUGCAAGAUUAUCUUGAAAGAUAGCGUUCAUUCGCUACCCACCGUUAUUAAACUUUUGUUUUUUUAAUUGGACUAUAAAAACAUAAAAAAGCUUGUCUUUUUUGAAAAUUAUUAUAAUUUUUAAACAAAACAACUUUUGGCAACGGAUCUCUAGGCUCUUGCAUCGAUGAAGAACGCAGC